rnacentral:misc_RNA from 1 species
CAAUGAUUUGCCGUUCGCUGUGUCAGUCUCACGGAAGAAGAGGUUUGCUUAGCAUUUACGGGAAAUAUAUCGUAAUGAAAAUGACGUGCGUCUCAAAUUUCUGUGCCCGCGUAUCGUGAUACGUUGCGACCUGUUCGUAGAACUUUUCGUUUUCAGUGGCCAGCGAGUUGUUUGUUCGUGUCAGUUCGUUUCUGUUUUCUUCCUCUCCUCUGUGUGCUCGAGUGAACCGUAGGGACCCGUAACUAACCUAAAUAUUCGACAGCCGUAACGUAAUUUCUCAGUGACACGUCGCCAACGAAUACUUUGUGCUUGUUCUUUGAAACUACAGUGUGAAUGAACGUGGUCAACCACUGAACAGAUAAGAUUAGUGAAGUACCAAUAUAAGGUAAUCAUGGAGGACGGCCAUUGCAAGACAGUGGAAGAGGUAGUAAAUUACUUUAACGUCGAUCCUGAUAAAGGAUUAUCCGCUGAUCAAGUGAAGAGGAACCAGGAGAAGUAUGGUCUCAACGAAUUGCCAGCCGAGGAGGGAAAAUCUAUAUGGCAACUCGUGUUGGAGCAAUUCGAUGACCUUUUAGUUAAGAUUCUUCUGUUAGCUGCUAUUAUUUCUUUUGUAUUAGCUUUAUUUGAAGAGCACGAGGAUGCAUUCACGGCGUUCGUCGAGCCCUUUGUUAUUUUGCUCAUUCUUAUCGCCAACGCCGUGGUCGGUGUCUGGCAGGAACGUAAUGCCGAGUCCGCGAUAGAAGCGUUGAAAGAGUACGAGCCCGAAAUGGGUAAAGUUUUACGAACAGACAAGGCCGGUGUCCAACGAAUUCGAGCCAAGGAGAUCGUGCCCGGGGACAUCGUUGAGGUGUCCGUCGGUGACAAGAUCCCGGCUGAUAUUCGUCUCACCAAGAUCUACUCGACCACCCUCAGGAUCGAUCAGUCUAUCCUGACCGGUGAAUCAGUCUCGGUAAUCAAGCAUACCGAUCCUGUUCCUGAUCCACGUGCCGUUAACCAGGACAAGAAAAACAUUCUGUUUUCUGGUACGAACGUAGCCGCGGGCAAGGCCCGAGGUGUGGUAAUUGGAACUGGCUUGAACACUGCUAUCGGUAAAAUCCGUACCGAGAUGUCCGAGACCGAGGAGAUCAAGACGCCUUUGCAACAGAAGUUGGAUGAAUUCGGCGAGCAAUUGUCGAAGGUCAUUUCCGUCAUUUGCGUGGCUGUAUGGGCUAUCAACAUUGGACACUUCAACGACCCUGCCCAUGGUGGAUCUUGGAUCAAGGGAGCUAUCUACUACUUCAAGAUUGCCGUCGCUCUUGCCGUAGCCGCUAUUCCCGAAGGUUUACCAGCUGUGAUCACUACUUGCUUGGCUUUGGGAACGCGUCGUAUGGCUAAGAAAAACGCUAUCGUUAGAUCGUUACCUUCUGUCGAGACCCUAGGUUGUACUUCUGUCAUCUGUUCGGACAAGACUGGUACUUUGACCACCAACCAGAUGUCCGUUAGUCGAAUGUUCAUCUUCGACAAAGUCGAAGGCAACGACAGCAGCUUCCACGAGUUCGAGAUCACCGGAUCAACCUAUGAGCCCAUCGGUGACUUGUUCUUGAGGGGACAGAAGAUCAGAGGCCAGGACUACGAGACUCUUCACGAAAUCAGUACAAUCUGUAUCAUGUGCAACGAUUCUGCCAUUGACUUCAACGAAUUCAAACAAGCAUUUGAGAAGGUCGGCGAGGCAACGGAGACAGCUCUUAUCGUUCUUGCGGAGAAAAUCAAUCCCUAUGGUGUGUCCAAGAGCGGACUGGACAGGCGUAACGCUGCCAUCGCUGUCAGACAGGACAUGGAGACAAAAUGGAAGAAAGAAUUCACUCUGGAGUUCUCCCGUGAUCGUAAAUCCAUGUCUUCUUACUGUACUCCUUUGAGACCAUCGAAAUUGGGCAAUGGACCGAAGCUGUUCGUCAAAGGUGCCCCAGAAGGUGUCCUGGACAGGUGCACGCAUGCCCGUGUCGGUUCUACCAAGGUUCCUCUUACUUCGACCCUGAAGAAUCGUAUCUUGGAUCUGACUCGCCAGUACGGUACUGGUAGGGACACUCUUCGUUGCCUCGCUCUUGCCACCGCUGAUCAUCCGAUGAAGCCCGACGACAUGGACCUUGGUGACUCCACCAAAUUCUACACAUAUGAGAAGGAUCUCACAUUUAUUGGUGUCGUUGGUAUGCUUGACCCGCCUCGUAAGGAGGUAUUUGACUCGAUUGCAAGGUGUCGUGCUGCUGGUAUUCGAGUAAUUGUCAUUACUGGAGAUAACAAGGCCACCGCUGAAGCUAUCUGCAGACGUAUCGGCGUAUUCGGUGAGGAUGAAGACACCACUGGAAAGUCAUACUCUGGUCGUGAAUUCGACGACCUUGCUCCGAUGGAACAGAAGGCAGCUUGCGCUAGGGCACGUCUGUUCUCUCGUGUAGAACCUGCUCACAAAUCAAAGAUCGUUGAGUACUUGCAGAGCAUGAACGAAAUCUCCGCCAUGACUGGUGACGGUGUGAAUGAUGCACCUGCCUUGAAAAAAGCUGAAAUCGGUAUUGCUAUGGGAUCUGGAACUGCCGUAGCAAAAUCCGCUUCUGAGAUGGUACUGGCAGACGACAACUUCUCUUCCAUCGUCGCUGCCGUUGAAGAAGGCCGUGCCAUUUACAACAACAUGAAACAGUUCAUCCGUUACCUGAUUUCUUCCAACAUUGGUGAAGUCGUAAGUAUAUUCUUGACUGCCGCCCUUGGUCUUCCUGAAGCUCUGAUCCCUGUACAACUUCUGUGGGUCAACUUGGUUACUGAUGGUCUUCCCGCUACUGCUCUUGGUUUCAAUCCUCCCGAUUUGGACAUCAUGAGCAAGCCUCCCCGUAAAGCCGAUGAAUCUCUUAUUUCCGGUUGGUUGUUCUUCCGCUAUUUGGCUAUUGGCGGAUAUGUAGGUGCUGCUACCGUUGGAUCAGCUGCAUGGUGGUUCUUGUACAGUCCGAAUGGCCCACAAAUGAACUACUACCAAUUGACUCAUCACUUGGCGUGCAUGGGCGGUGGUGAAGAAUUCAAGGGCAUUAACUGCAAGAUCUUCACGGACCCUCAUCCCAUGACAAUGGCUCUGUCUGUACUUGUAACUAUUGAAAUGUUGAAUGCCAUGAACAGUUUAUCUGAAAAUCAGUCUCUCAUCACUAUGCCGCCGUGGUCUAACAUGUGGCUCAUUGCCUCUAUGGCUCUUUCUUUCACACUCCACUUUGUCAUCCUUUACAUCGACGUUCUUUCGUCCGUAUUCCAAGUUACCCCUCUAACGGCCGAGGAGUGGGUUACCGUUAUGAAGUUCUCCAUUCCAGUGGUACUUCUCGACGAAACCCUGAAGUUCAUUGCCAGAAAGUUCACAGAUGCAUCAAGGAAAUCCGCUUCGGUGAAGACGUCAAUGCGCUGGAACUGCCUGAUCCGUUGCUGAAAUGUCAACUCAAAGAUUGUGCAUGAAGUUCGAAUUUAAUGGAUCUCAUUUCUGAACCCGUACAUUCUAUGUCUUCCUUCCCGUAGAGAAGUAAUUGCAUGCACAACUAAAGAAAUCCUUGGACUAUAUGUAUAUCCUACUAAAACACUCACCUCGUAGAACAGUCACUAUCGGUGGUUUGUUAAUCCUGCCGUGCCCCGGGAUAUCAUGAUCGAUGAUACUCAAUUUUUCUUCAAAAUAUUAUGUAUCAAUCAUUAACUAAGUACAAUUAUAUACAUAGCUGGAUUCGAUAGGAUUUCAAUGACGUACAAAGAAACGGAAACGGUGAUAUCUUUUAACCGGGUUUCGUCAAAAACGGGCACUGCAGGAUUAUUCUAACAUCACUGCACUUUCAUUGCAUCCACUCUUCUACCUUUAUGUGUACCUUACUGGGUGUGAUUUACAUGUUUGAACGAUUAAUGCCAUGCAACAGAUUUGUAUAUCACUAAUUUAACAGAUGCGGACUGCAAGGACUCGCGCGUGUAACAUAGCAGGAAACUCGAUUGUCUUUCGCAGUCCGUGUCUCUCGUUGUAUUAAUCCUCUCUUUUUCCUCAAAACGGUGGUCUGAACUUGAGAACGCUCGAUUUACAUGUACAUUUUUGUUCCUAUUCAAACCACGGAUAUUUCCAUUUUAAAUGAUUCGAGUCUCUUGACUCUUUGGCUGUAGAAUUAAGAUGGUUGUAUCAUAAAUAUACUUUUUUAAAUUACGUGUAUAUAAUAAUAGCUAAAUACUGGUAAAGUUGUAGGAUACACAGGAGUCUCUCUAUGAGAUCACAUCCCCUAGUUAGACAGGUAUACGAAGUUAAAAUUUUUAUACUUAGAAUAUGAGUCUCAUUGGUUCUAUUGUUGUGAAAUUUACUCUUUAACACAAUCAUGCAUCGAAUAUACUGUAAAGUGGAUCGAUCAGACCCAUCUCGUCUCCUCACUUAAAUUAAAAUAUCGUAAUUCAUUUUACCAAUAUUCUAACUUUUGCGGUACAACCACCUUAAACUACCAAGAAUGAAAACAAUGAAUAUUAUACAAAUAGCAGAAACCCUGUACAUGUGAAUACUUGGAAAUAGUAAAUGGUUAAAAAUCGAGUUUAAUCGAUUUCUUAUAGCGAAUAGUUAUUUAUGAUGGGAAUCAUUUUACUCGUACCUCUCGUAGCACGUUACUACGUAAAUAGCGAACACAUCGAGCGAAUCUCGGGUUCAGACACCCGGUCAAUAACAAUCUCUAUACACGCGCCACAUGCGAAACGGAAGAUCCGGUGUCGUCACGAAUUACGUGGGCCUUUUUAACGCAUCUAACUGUCUCUUUAGUCACAUUUCUCAUCCGGGGUUUUAUAAAUCAUAAUAUUAGAGAAUAGGGGUGUGCGGGUAGCCAGAUACGUCAGGUAUGUAUCCGAGUUUCGGGCUAAAGUCGAAAGCAGUUGGGAUCAAGAACGCCUGACUUUUAUCAUUUCCCAAGUCCAUAAUCUCAGGUUCAUUGUAGACUUUCUGUAGGGUACAAUGUAGACUUUGGUUAGAAAAAGUGUAGAAGGAAAAACAUCUACCACUUUCAAAUUUGACAAAUCUCAAAUAUGCAUUUCUAUAUUUUCAAGUUCCUUACUCUUUGCAUUUGACAAUUUAAAGUUUCUAUAUUUUCUGAAUUUGUAAAUCUAGAAGUUUGAAUAUUCACAUUCCUACGAACGUUAAAACGAGUGGUGGAUUCUUUUUUUCCUACGUUGUAAUUUUCCCUAGGAAAUCCUACCAUGCUUGCCAGUACCCGCACAUCCUUAUUAAAGAGUAUAUAUAUAUAUACUAUUAUUCGGCCAAAUCGAGCCGUGUUUGUAAAUGGCGAACGCGUAUCAUACCACUUCUGGACCCCGUGCAAACGCAACAAGACUGACGAUGCGGUUCCAAGAAGUGGUUCGUGUUUGCGUGCAACAAAGUUUGUCCACCGUUCGUUCGACGCGAAGUGCAUAAUUAAUUUAAUUGCGUUGGAAGCGUGGCGACGCGUCAGCAACCAGAGUCCUCGUUCGCGAUUAAAAACUAGUGUAAUAUAUACAUAUACAUAUAUUAUUAUUAAUAUUAAUUAAACCGGUUAGGGCGUGAUACUACUUUGGUAUGGGCAUAACUGAACUUAAUUAGACCGAAAUUACGCGGAAAUGAUUUUUUUGCGAACAGAAUAGUGAUAGUAACGUGUAACGCCGUGGACACAGCCAGGUUUGUGAGCAAAAUUUAUUCCAGCGUAAAUUUUAUAAACUGAUUUUAGAUUUAUGUUUAUAUACAGAACAUUAACCUUCUUUCUGUGUACAGAUGCAAACACGUGGGUUAUUCUUAAUUCAAUUUUUUAAUCUUUUUAUACCUGUCUUAAAAAUCAAUUUUCAUAUACGUAUGUUUUUUUUUCUUUAAAUUAUAAAUGUAUGGAGUGUAAUUGCAUCGUCAAAAUUUUGUACACAGAGAAAAAGUUAGUAGAAUUAUAAUUUUUCUGCAGAGGGGAGCAAAAUCCGAUUUUUUCCAUGUCCACUUUUUUUUAUGUCCCUGGCUACGUCCAUGUGCAACGUGGUUCGUGCAUGGGCGCGCGGCCGGUAGAUGACAGUGUUGGGUGCUCGUCACCAAAACCCUGUCGUUUCACCAGCCACGCGCCAAUCAACGUCGCUUGAACCUGUCGAGAAAACCCACUAACUUGUGUGUUUUGUUCGAAUUUAACAUAGAAGCAAUUUACCUUUUUUCUUGUACAUUCGAGCGAUAACGCGGGCUUUCUAAGGGUAAGCAGUAGAGGGAGGCGUCUCUCACCGUUUGCUUUUGAUUUCGGGUGAAUCCAGGAAACCUAACAUAACUGGUCCAUGCAUGUAAAGAACAAGAACGAACAGAUCCCUCCUUUACACUUUCCCUUAUGGAGUCUUCUUAGUGUGAUGGUCUUCAGAAAAUUCAUCUCAACUCAUGCAGCACGUGAUUUUCAAAGCAAUGAGUUACAUUUUCACUUUGUCAAAUUAGCAAAUUUCUAAAUUUAAAAAUUCAAAUACGUCUCAAUGUAAAGAAGCUUCAAUUUAACAAUUGACUCAUGGCGAGCACUGUACAUAAAAAAAUACACUCGCAGCUAAGAUUUCCUCGAAAACUCGUGACUGUAAAAAAUUGUAAGAGAAUUUUUUGGAAAAUCACACUUAGAGGAUCCCCUAAUCAAGGUGAGCCUAGGUUGUACACGACUGUACAACGAUAUCAUUCGUGUACCAGCAGAUCAUCUUCGAUGACUAUCCUGUGCUAUUUCAGAGGAAAUUUCUUAACGAACAUAUGGUCGUGUACUUUUUAGAAUCGAAUUAUAGCACAGAGAUAUGUCGAAGAUCAUGAUGCCGAUACAAGCGGUCUGACAGCACUUCACGACGCUCAAUAAACGUAAACCGAGAGUAAAAUUCAUUCUGUUUUUUGCGUUCGUUCAUUCGACGUACCGAACGUUUGUAAGUACUUGGAUUGUGUGGAUUGUGUUUCUCUGUUUUCUUAUUUUACUGUUUGUUUUUUUCCUUUACUUGUCUCUCUUCCUCUCUCCCAGUUUGGAAGGAAAUGGAGGAGAGGACGUAGAAUGCCAUCGAGACAAAAGAAAAGGCUACGGCUGCGUCGCGUUACGCAAGAUAAGAUUGCAUCGCUGGAUCCGCGCGUAUCUUCGCCUUUCUUCAUCCGAUUCGGAACCAUUUAUCCGUAGAAAAUACCAGUAGUUAGAGUAGUCGUGAAAUUUUCUUGAGAACGAUCGUAAAAUGGCGCGCGAAUCCAGCGAACUUGCCUGACGCUCUGACUAGUUAAUCUAGUACGGUAAAAGGUACAAUGAUCAAACCACGGUCGCAUCGUUCGUGCAGGAAGUACCUAUUUCUAAUGAUAAUAAGAUAAUUAAUAUUAAUAUUAAUAAUAUUAAUGAUAAUAAUAAUUAAUAACUUAUAAAUAGAGUGCGAUUAUAUUUGAAUGAUUUGAUGCAUACAUUCGCCACAGACGCACGUUGUGGCGGAUCAACGGUGUGAUGAUCCUAAUUAAUUAGACCCGAAAACGAUACACAGUGACGGUCUAACGAACAACCGAAAGCGAUUCGACGAUGAUAGUAUGGACAGAGAGAACAAGGAAUAAGAAUCGUUUGUAUCGUUUAACGGGAUCGCAGAAGUCUCUUUGUUUGUCGCGUUUUAUUUAAUCUCAAGAAUUUCGAAUCAACAGAAACAUCAUCGCAAGAACGAAAAAAAGUGAAAGUAUACGUAUUAUCGCGACGAAUUAUCGAUGAUUAGCGACGGUCCGACCUCUAGUGCGUUACUUGUUACAUAAAUAAAUGAGGAAAUGAAAAGAGGAAUGAUGUGUUAACUAAAUGCGUGUUCCGUGAACAUAGGGAUAAAAGGGAACUAGGCAUUUCGUUUAUCGACAGAAAAGAUCGGAUUCUGCUUUUAACUUGCUAAUUAAAUUUGUAUCCUUCCUCUCUGAAAAUAGGUGAAUUCGAUCAUUAACAAUUUUUAAUCGAAGGAAGUAGUUAAUAACGUUUUGCAAAUAUGGGAAGCUAUUUUGGUUAUAUUAUUUAAUUAUUUGCAUCUCCUUUUGUACCGCAACUACUAAAACAUCGUAUACAGUGUUGUUCUAAUGCAUUUAUUCUUGCAUUUUUUUAUUUUUUCUAAAUAUUGUGUCGUAUAUGUUGAUACAACUUUAAUGACUUUGAUGUUACAUUUAUUAAAUAAAUUAUCCGGAUUAAUAUAGUCUCUCAUUUUUUAGAGUAUUUAUAUUGUAUAUUCAUUUUUUUAUUCGCAUACAAAAGUAAUUCUCGUUUAAAUUUCCCUCUAAGUUGAGGUGUAACCAAAAUGACGUCUUUUUGUAACUUUUAUCAAAGUUAUCUAUGAUAUGCUUAAUCUCCUCUUAUCCCUAUGUUUAUGACGUGUUCGCGUAUCAAUGAUCGGCCUACUAUAAUUAAAAGAAAGAGAGAAAUCGUUUGAAACAAUACGGUAUCUGGAGAGUGGCAUAUGCCGCGUGUACGAACAUCGAACACUUAAUACAAUCUGAACUGUAAUAAGUGUUUGUUCCAGUUUGUCUCCAUACACCUGUGUAAUUUUCUGUGCCUUUAUCUCUCUGUCACCUGCUCACUUUCCUCUACUUGAUUUACUCUUGAUCGUACCUGUCCUUAUCUUCGAACACGUGGCUAACCCUUUGAGUGCAAAAUUUUUCAAUCAAUGCUAAUCAGUGAUCACUGAAUAUUCAUUUUUGUACUUAGUACAUUUUCGCAAGAGUGUAAAUUACGAUAAUCCUAAAUUUCAAUAUUUGGAACUUUGAAAAUAUCUAAACAAGCCACAAUAAUAAUUUUUUGAGAUGUUUGUACAUCCACCGUACUGAAAGGGUUAAAUUCCAAGGCUUCUGGUUGUAAACAGUAAAGACGAUUUAUACCCAAAAGUCUCUUAACAAUCUUAACUGCUAGAACCUAAAUGAAUGUCCGAAGGAAAUCAUUCGCUUCAUCAAUCAUCAACGUCGAAAGAUCGAUCGUCGGGAGGAUGAUCGAUUUAACGAGUUCAUGACAGUCUAACCGUGAAACUGGAAUUGGACCAACUGGAAAAAGUGCAAGCGACCACGACAAUUCCGCGUUCCAUCAUCAUCACGGUCAUUCUGUGUCCCCAGAGUUGUUGUUUGUAUUUCUGCAUGCAUCCUCUGGAUCAGUGGCAAAAAUAAAAACAAAAUUCGAACAAAUACAAAAUACCUGAUACAACGAGUGUCGUUUCGGCCUGGAAUGACCAUAAUGCUCCUUAAAUCGAGGAAGUUGUCCCUGACACCGCAACCCGAAACACUUUUUUUGCUAACUCCUGCCUGCUGGUGUGUGAUACUAUUCAGUCGAGGAGCGAAUUACCGGAGUAUAGCCGUACACUGGAAUACCAGUGGCAACGCCUGUGAUGCUGUCGAAAUAAAGAUCGAGAACGCGUCGGACGAAAUCGACAGCAGUCCGGGACACGAGAAAAACCGUCGGAAUGGCGCUUAAACGACACCCAUCCGCAACAACUCGCAAGCUGAUCGACAGGAUCGAGCCGACAGAUAUCUUACGAACACUAUCGACACGUACAUAUACAUACACAGAUAGGGGGUGUACAGACAUUACUUAAAACUAAAA